rnacentral:rRNA from 1 species
UACGUAGGUGGCAAGCGUUGUCCGGAUUUAUUGGGCGUAAAGCGAGCGCAGGUUGUUUCUUAAGUCUGAUGUGAAAGCCCACGGCUCAACCGUGGAAGGUCAUUGGAAACUGGGGAACUUGAAUGCAGAAGAGGAGAGUGGAAUUCCAUGUGUAGCGGUGAAAUGCGUAGAUAUAUGGAGGAACACCAGUGGCGAAGGUGACUCUCUGGACUGUAACUGACACUGAGGCACGAAAGCGUGGGGAGCAAACAGGAUUAGAUA